GUACGUUCAGUUCACGUUCGCCGAAAAUAUGAACGAGUUCAUGAACUAUCGUUCAAUGAACGCGUUCAGGCACAACACUGCAUGUAAUCAAGAAUAUGUGGGGGCCAGCACAGAAGAUCAUCUGUGAGGUCGACCAGUGUCGUUUGAACGCUGACUUUGCUCAAACGAGCGGGAUGUUGCGUUUCGAAUUCCACCACAUCCAAUCAUUGGUGUCAAGGUCAAAACGUGACACUCUGUACAUUGUAAUGGGGGCCAAUUGUAAUUUCAGAGAGGUAUGUGUAAAUCGUGACACAUUAUGCUUAGUGUACAAGGUGUUAUUUUUUUAGAACAUUAACAUCUUCCUGCAUUUCCUUCUUCACAGGAAAACAUGCUGCAAAUUAGGAUAUGGGGGUGUCUCGCUCUACUGCAGAACUGUGAUAUUCAGGGCCGUAAGUGCCCUGAAUAUCACACUUUUGAAUCAAAUCACAAAAAAACUGUUUUACUCACUGUCAACAGACCAACAUGAAUGGUUUCAUAGUGAAUGUAUGUUGUCAUUAAAUCACUAAGGUCUGAAGAAGACCGAUUGCAGGACAGAAAACGGCGACGAGUGCAAGGAGGGCUACAGACGCUGGGAAAUGACAUAACUGGAAACCGGGAACAGGGUUGCUUGUUAUGGGCCAGAAAAAUACCCUGAUACUUGCCAUUGUUAAACAAUUAUGGAAGCUUUAGGAAUGUAUUUGGCUAGGCUAAAACAUUAUUUAUUUUGUCUUUGCAGAUCAAACAUUUUUUGCCUGGGGUGAAAAUAAAAUUCAUUGAUCCAAAGUC